CAAAUUCCUACGGGAGGCAGCAGUAGGGAAUCUUCCACAAUGGACGCAAGUCUGAUGGAGCAACGCCGCUUGAGUGAAGAAGGCUUUCGGGUCGUAAAACUCUGUUGUUGGAGAAGAAUGGUCGGCAGAGUAACUGUUGUCGGCGUGACGGUAUCCAACCAGAAAGCCACGGCUAACUACGUGCCAGCAGCCGCGGUAAUACGUAGGUGGCAAGCGUUAUCCGGAUUUAUUGGGCGUAAAGCGAGCGCAGGCGGUUUUUUAAGUCUGAUGUGAAAGCCCUCGGCUUAACCGAGGAAGCGCAUCGGAAACUGGGAAACUUGAGUGCAGAAGAGGACAGUGGAACUCCAUGUGUAGCGGUGAAAUGCGUAGAUAUAUGGAAGAACACCAGUGGCGAAGGCGGCUGUCUGGUCUGUAACUGACGCUGAGGCUCGAAAGCAUGGGUAGCGAACAGGAUUAGAUACCCUGGUAGUCCAUGCCGUAAACGAUGAAUGCUAGGUGUUGGAGGGUUUCCGCCCUUCAGUGCCGCAGCUAACGCAUUAAGCAUUCCGCCUGGGGAGUACGACCGCAAGGUUGAAACUCAAAGGAAUUGACGGGGGCCCGCACAAGCGGUGGAGCAUGUGGUUUAAUUCGAAGCAACGCGAAGAACCUUACCAGGUCUUGACAUCUUUUGAUCACCUGAGAGAUCAGGUUUCCCCUUCGGGGGCAAAAUGACAGGUGGUGCAUGGUUGUCGUCAGCUCGUGUCGUGAGAUGUUGGGUUAAGUCCCGCAACGAGCGCAACCCUUAUGACUAGUUGCCAGCAUUUAGUUGGGCACUCUAGUAAGACUGCCGGUGACAAACCGGAGGAAGGUGGGGAUGACGUCAAAUCAUCAUGCCCCUUAUGACCUGGGCUACACACGUGCUACAAUGGAUGGUACAACGAGUUGCGAGACCGCGAGGUCAAGCUAAUCUCUUAAAGCCAUUCUCAGUUCGGACUGUAGGCUGCAACUCGCCUACACGAAGUCGGAAUCGCUAGUAAUCGCGGAUCAGCACGCCGCGGUGAAUACGUUCCCGGGCCUUGUACACACCGCCCGUCACACCA
rnacentral:rRNA from 1 species